CGUAGGGUGCAAGCGUUGUCCGGAAUUAUUGGGCGUAAAGAGCUCGUAGGCGGUCUGUCGCGUCGAAUGUGAAAACCCGGGACUCAACUCCGGGCCUGCAUUCGAUACGGGCAGACUAGAGUUCGGUAGGGGAGACUGGAAUUCCUGGUGUAGCGGUGAAAUGCGCAGAUAUCAGGAGGAACACCGGUGGCGAAGGCGGAUCUCUGGGCCAUUACUGACGCUGAGGAGCGAAAGCGUGGGGAGCGAACAGG
rnacentral:rRNA from 1 species